rnacentral:rRNA from 1 species
UAUUGAUGUAUGUAGUACGCAUCUACAGGCUCGGUCUAUUUCACGCUGAUGCGCUCAGGCUGCACGCCGAUAACCUCUCACACCUGUGCACCUUUUCGGGUGCGGAUUCGGCCGCUUCCGCUUUUACAUGCAACCACAAAAAGUCUAGAAUGUGACGAGAACUAUAAAGUAACAACUUUCAACAACGGAUCUCUUGGCUCUCGCAUCGAUGAAGAACGCAGCGAAAUGCGAUAAGUAAUGUGAAUUGCAGAAUUCAGUGAAUCAUCGAAUCUUUGAACGCACCUUGCGCUCCUUGGUAUUCCAUGGAGCAUGCCUGUUUGAGUGUCACGUAAACCCUCACCCCUGCGAUGUAACAGUCGCCUGCGGUGGACUUGGACCGUGCCGGUAAUCGGCUCGUCUUGAAAUGCAUUAGCUGGCGCUUUUAGAGUGCUGGGCGAACGGUGUGAUAAUUAUCUGCGCCGACUGCCCUGGGCCUCUUCAGCGGCGCUGCUUACAGCCGUCCCUUGUGGACAACUAUUUUAAAGCUUUGGCCUCAAAUCAGGUAGGACUACCCGCUGAACUUAAGCAUAUCAAUAAGCGGAGGAAAAGAAACUAACAAGGAUUCCCCUAGUAACGGCGAGUGAAGCGGGAUGAGCUCAAAUUUGAAAUCUGGCGGUCUCAGGCCGUCCGAGUUGUAAUCUAGAGAGGUGUUUUCCGUGCUGGACCGUGUACAAGUCUCCUGA